AUUGGAAUCUGAGGCAGCGUUUGUGGAGUUGUCUGGAGCAGAGAUGGAGGUUGAACGUGAGUUCCUGUGGGUACCGGUUGAUGUUUGCAGAGUCUCAGGAGCUGGACUGGUGCCGGAAGUGGCAUCCGAGUGGGAGGUAGCACAAGACCGGAGACACCCAGUGCUGGAAGAGGUCUGCAUGUGCCUAAUGGCCGCAACAGCAUGGGUGGCCUGCAGGUGGCAGCAAACAGGGCUUGGAUUUUGAAUGGUUUAACAGCUCAACCGCGAUUCUGAAUGAGAUCAGAUAACUCAGUCCAGCCCUACAAUCAAAGUAAAAGUGGUCAUGAUCUAAAGGAUUUGUUUGUAUGCAAGGCAUGUACACAUGAACAAUGAAAGCACAAAUCCUGUCCAGAAUACAGAACAGACCAAAACAGGCUCACUGGACUGGUGAUAUCACAGUACUACAACAGGGCAUCAUUGCAUCGAUACUUCAAGUGGAUUGCAAAUCCAACCAUUUGUACUGGGUUGAACCUUGGAAUUCAUGAAAUUUUCUUUAUUGUAUCAAUUACAUAUGUGUGCUACUGAUAAACACCAUAUAACAAACUAAGGAAAUUCA